GGGGCCGACCGCCGGUUGUGACAUACCACAUCGGGGCUCCGAUCACAUUAGUGUCUCAAAGGAGCAAGAGGUUUCUCUGCUGCCCCAAUAUAUCAAUUCACUGUACAAACGAGGCCUUUAACCAAGAGAUCAUUUACAUUCCCUCCCCUUCUUUAUGUGUUUUUUUGUCCUGAUGUUAAGACACAUAAUAUAGGUUGCCUAGCAACCUGUUCAAACACAUCACUUCCGCUGAACACAGCGGAGGUCAGAUGUUUAUUAUAAGCUAAUUAAGUACAAUGCAGCUAUUGGCCAAUAACUACCUACAUAGGUAUUUAAACCUCAGUCUAUAACACCAUACCAGUAGCAUUGGAAGUGAACAAGCCCGCAGGACGGGUGAAACGCGUUUUCAAGCUCCAGCAGGACCUAUUUCCAGUUCCAGCUUGACCCUAUCUCAGCAUUCCAGCAUGAAAAACUUCUACAUGUAUUAAGGACCUGAGGAAUAUAUCUUGCAUCCUAUUACCUAUUGACUGACCCAGGGACCUGGGCAGGGACCGGUACACUUUUGUAUCUACUUUUAUGAGAUUCUCUAUACCAACACAGCAAUGCAGUAUAUAUAUAUUUUUGUCAUAACCCUAUUUAGGGCAGCCCAGGGAUCUGGACUAUGAUUGUGAUAUCUUGAAUGAUAUUUUGAAAGAGAUUCUUAUUAUCCCCUCAUUUGCUUUGUCAGAUAUCCCUCACCCUCUCUCCAAUUGCCCCAUUUUUUUUUUUUUUUUUCAAGCACGAAAAUUGUUAUAUUAUCACUGUUAUUUGUAUGCUGGUUCCUAAACAGAGGAGAGAAGUAAGAAUGUGAUAAAGGCAUUCCGGUCCCAGAGUUCCUUUUGUUUAUAUGGCUUUUAAGUUGUCAUGGUGAUGGGUUAGUCACGAUAGCCGGAAGUGUGCCGUCGUCAGGACAACAGUGUCCGUUGAUGAUGACGCAACCGGAUGUAGGUCCCGGCGUGGACACCGAAGACGCGACACUGGUGGUGUUUCUUAGAGUGUAUAAAGGUCCCUCUCCAAUUCCAAAGACGGGCUAAUAGCUGAGGUCCGAACAGCAGGAACAAGAAUACUUCUCCGAUAUGGCCUUUUUCCGUAUUUACCAGAUAUACCAGCAAAGUCCAAGGAAUGCGACACUGAUGACCAUUAAAUAUAUUUUAUUAUACUGGAAAAGACGGUUGCAGACCUCGUUCUUAUCAUACAGUGUUCAAUUUGCACAUAUAAGAUCAACCUUAACCUUUAACAAUUAUACUCUUCCUAUUAUACCUAUA